UAGCAGCAAAGACAGUAUUGGAAUAUUUGCUUCAAUGCUGCACUUGCUGCUCUA
rnacentral:pre_miRNA from 1 species